rnacentral:rRNA from 1 species
GUAGGUGGCAAGCGUUGUCCGGGAAUUAUUGGGGCGUAAAGCGCGCGCAGGCGGUUCUUUAAGUCUGAUGUGAAAGCCCACGGGCUCAACCGUGGAGGGUCAUUGGAAACUGGAGAACUUGAGUACAGAAGAGGAAAGCGGAAUUCCACGUGUAGCGGUGAAAUGCGUAGAGAUGUGGAGGAACACCAGUGGCGAAGGCGGCUUUCUGGUCUGUAACUGACGCUGAGGCGCGAAAGCGUGGGGAGCAAACAGGAUUAGAUACCCUGGUAGUCCACGCCGUAAACGAUGAGUGCUAAGUGUUAGUGGGUUUCCGCCCCUUAGUGCUGCAGCUAACGCAUUAAGCACUCCGCCUGGGGAGUACGGCCGCAAAGGCUG